rfam:Toxocara canis scaffold266, whole genome shotgun sequence.
GUGGCAGUAGUUCAGUGGUACAGCUUCCGCUUCAUACGCGGAAAGACCUGGGUUCGAUUCCCGGCUGCUUACC